AUUGAACGCUGGCGGCAGGCCUAACACAUGCAAGUCGAGCGGAUGACGGGAGCUUGCUCCUUGAUUCAGCGGCGGACGGGUGAGUAAUACCUAGGAAUCUGCCUGAUAGUGGGGGACAACGUUUCGAAAGGAACGCUAAUACCGCAUACGUCCUACGGGAGAAAGCAGGGGACCUUCGGGCCUUGCGCUAUCAGAUGAGCCUAGGUCGGAUUAGCUAGUUGGUGAGGUAAUGGCUCACCAAGGCGACGAUCCGUAACUGGUCUGAGAGGAUGAUCAGUCCCACUGGAACUGAGACACGGUCAAGACUACUACGGGAGGCAGCAGUGGGGAAUAUUGGACAAUGGGCGAAAGCCUGAUCCAGCCAUGCCGCGUGUGUGAAGAAGGUCUUCGGAUUGUAAAGUACUUUAAGUUGGGAGGAAGGGCAGUAAGCUAAUACCUUGCUGUUUUGACGUUACCGACAGAAUAAGCACCGGCUAACUCUGUGCCAGCCGCCGCUGUAAAAC
rnacentral:rRNA from 1 species